rnacentral:tRNA from 1 species
UAUUAGGAUCUGCUACACAAGCAGUUGGGCCCAUACCCCAAAAACGGAAACGAAAAACCUCCUAAUA